AUUGAACGCUGGCGGCAGGCCUAACACAUGCAAGUCGAGCGGAUGAAGGGAGCUUGCUCCUGGAUUCAGCGGCGGACGGGUGAGUAAUGCCUAGGAAUCUGCCUGGUAGUGGGGGAUAACGUCCGGAAACGGGCGCUAAUACCGCAUACGUCCUGAGGGAGAAAGUGGGGGAUCUUCGGACCUCACGCUAUCAGAUGAGCCUAGGUCGGAUUAGCUAGUUGGUGGGGUAAAGGCCUACCAAGGCGACGAUCCGUAACUGGUCUGAGAGGAUGAUCAGUCACACUGGAACUGAGACACGGUCCAGACUCCUACGGGAGGCAGCAGUGGGGAAUAUUGGGCAAUGGGCGAAAGCCUGAUCCAGCCAAGCCGCGUGUGUGAAGAAGGUCUUCGGAUUGUAAAGCACUUUAAGUUGGGAGGAAGGGCAGUAAGUUAAUACCUUGCUGUUUUGACGUUACCAACAGAAUAAGCACCGGCUAACUUCGUG
rnacentral:rRNA from 1 species